UUUCCCUCGCUUGAAAGACAACAAUACACGAGGUAGAAGAUUGCUUGCAUCAAAUUCAAAGCCAAUGAACAAUGCUACUCCAAGAACUAUAAAUCCACUCCAUUGGAAGGAUAAUGGACAUGAAUCAAUCAUCUCUCUAGGCCCAUUAGCCCAAACACUAAGAAAUUAAAACUCUCGAUUAAACCACCAGCAUCAGAAUUCUAAAAUAUGGAGGGAAAGAAUAAGAGGCUAGCUGUUUUGGUGGGGUGCAAUUACUAUAACACCCCUAACGAGUUGCAUGGCUGCAUAAACGAUGUGCUGGCUAUGAGGGACACACUAGUGAAGCGCUUUGAGUUUGAAGCUGCCAACAUUGAGGUCCUAACCGAUGCACCCGGCUCAUCUUCGGCUUUGCCCACCGGCGCCAACAUCAAGCUGGCGCUGGCUCGCAUGGUCGAUGCAGCCAAAGCUGGGGAUGUUCUGUACUUUCACUACAGUGGACAUGGAACCAGGAUCCCUUCAAAGAAACGUGGCCAUCCAUUCCGCCAAGAGGAAGCAAUUGUGCCUUGUGACUUCAAUCUUAUCACAGAUUUGGAUUUCCGGCAACUGGUGAAUCGGCUGCCGAGUGGCGCGAGCCUGACAAUCCUGUCAGACUCAUGCCACAGCGGCGGCCUAAUCGACAAAGAGAAGGAACAGAUAGGGCCAUCAUCAGUAAUCUCCAAAAGUGAAGCACCGAAAAAUUACACUUACACCCCAAAGACACUUCCCUUUGAGUCCAUAUUGCAGCACCUUUCAUCGCUAACAAAAAUAAACACCACUGACAUUGGAACACACUUGUUAGAAUCCUUCGGUGAGGAAGCCAGCCUGAGGUUCCGGCUUCCCCUGCCGGAUCCUGAAUUGUCCACACCGCUUCGAGCGGACAACGGGGUUCUGCUGAGUGGCUGCCAGCCUGAUGAGACAUCUGCCGACAUGAGGCCGAACGAAGUGAAUGCAAAGGCUUAUGGUGCAUUCAGCAAUGCCGUUCAGAUGGUUUUGACGGAGAAUCCUGGAAGAACUAUCAAUUCAAAGGAGCCAAGAUAUCCAUCAAGGCCAGAUUCAUUACAUGAGUAGGUGCAUCUUUCAUCCACACUCUGUUUGGAUUGGUAAGAGCAUAUUGUGCUAGUUCAUGAGCUACUCUAUUUCCUUAUCUCUUCACAUGAUUAAAAGAAAUUGAUCUAAAAUUAUCUAUUAAAUACAUAUUAUCAGCAAUGAAGAAACCAAAAUAAGAGUCAAUUACCUUUCUUUGUUUGAGAGCUUUCACCACUUGCAUACUAUCACUCUCCAAAAUAAUAUUUGUAAAGCAACUUUCUAUAGCCAUCUUCAUUCCUCGAUAGACAGCAUAUGCUUCUGCCUCAUGGGCCUCAAGGGGGAAUGGAAUAGCCCAACAAGCUGUUGCCAUGACUUGGCCCAGGUUAUCUCUAAUAACAACUCCUACACCUCCUUUAUUAAUCUUACCAACGGCUGCAUCUACAUUUACUUUCAGCAUUGAGUUUGGUGGCUCUUCCCACUUCUGCGUAAUGAAAGUUGGUGGGUUAUGACUCUUCCUCAACUCUUCCAAAGUAGCUUGGGUGUUCGAGAAUUCUUCGAAGGAGGUCAAUGCUUUUUUUAUUUCUUCCUCAAUUGUUAGUACUUUCUUUUCAAAAAUCGUUGAAUUCCUUACUUGCCAGAGUUGAUUUAGUAAGGCCUUAAAUUGAAUGGUGAUGCAAACCAGAAAUGCCUUGCAAAAUCAAAGUGUUUGAAGAGGUGUUCUUCCGUCUCCUCUCCUGCCCAGCAUCUCUCACAAAUUGGUGGACAUUCAAUUCCUCUACGCCUUAGGUUCUUCAUAGUUGGGAGGGAUUUAUGCAUCAGUCUCCACAGAAAAUUCAGUGUUCUUGGGGAGGCUUUAAUCUUCCAAAUCUGUUUUCAGGUGUUCUCGUCGUGUCCUACUUUUUCGCAGUAGUAGCAGAAAGUUGGUAGCUUUUCAUAUUUGAAGGACCACUAUACUGAAGAUUUACACGCUUCACUAGAUGUAUCUAAUGAGGAUGGAUUCACGAUGUAAAACUGAUGUAAGAUGCACUACUCUUCCCAAACCCUAAAGAGCUUUCGAGGUGUUGGGGAGAGAGGAGAAAAAACAAUGAAAGGAAGAAUCUCUUCAUAGAAUUUGUUCAUUAUUAUUAUUGGAGCCACUUUGAUAUCUGAAUUGUAUUUUUUCAUUCCUUUUGGGAUAGGACCAUCAUGGCAAUUAUCAUGGCAAAUUUGUCAAAGUCAACAUUUGUUAGAGCUGGGAUAGAUCCUCUUCAUUGCUCAAAAACAUUGAGGUCAUCCAUUACUUAAUCUCAACCUUUCAUUUAUAGUACCGAUGAUUAUUAAACUAACUUUUAUGACAUUGUCUCCAUUCACUAUGGCCUCAAAUGAUUAUCUUUCUUUUUUUUAUUAAACGAGAGAUCAUACAGUACCAAUUGAAAAAAAAAUGCUUUUAACUAUAUUAUAUUGUGUGUGAUAGAUAUAUAAUAACAACUAAGAUGCAUGGAGGAAAAAAACACUCAAAUUAAUAUUUCAAUUUAUACUCAUAAUUCAAUUUGUUCCUUAAAAUUUUAAUUUAUUCAAAUAAGUUCCCAACUUAAAAUCUAUGACUCAUAUAAGAUCCCGACUUUAUUUUUGUUUCAAAACCAUUAACGCUGUGUUGAGACGAAUUGAUGGCUACGUUGCUAAAUUUUCUAAUAGUUAUCCGAAGUGACGAUUGAAAUUUUUUACUCAAUUUACUCUUUAAGAAACCUUUAAAAUUCAUAAGUAAAAUGAGAAUUAGGAUUUUAAAUGCUUUGUAAAGAGUAAAUUGAGAUAAAAAAACUUCAAUUACCACUUUAGAUAGUCAUUAGAAUGUCUAACCACUACAACACAAACAGAAAAUAGCAGCGAAAAAUUGAAAACCAUUUUCAAAAUCGCAGCAAAUUAGAAAGAUAACGGUGCCUCAAUCUGCACUUAUAAAUGUGCAAUAGAAUCUGAUAGGUUAGUGGUGGUUUUGUGGACAAUCGCUACUAAAUCAAACAUUUUCUUAAUAAUAUAAUUAACACAUGCAUGGAGGCAUCAUUUAGACCCAACUCAUUCUCAAAUCUUAACAUCAGACCCAUACACAAAAGUAAAGUAGAAGGUCGUGAAACCAUUAUUCUUUCUUCUUUCACCUUGCGCAUCUGUGUCGUUGUGGAGUUGCAUGGCCGCCAAUCCAUCUUGCUAUAGUCGGUGCAUCCUUUCUCUUUACCUCAUAUGCUACUCUAUCGCUCCAUCUAUCUACUUUCUCAUUGGUUUGUUCUUUUACCUUGCUCCCUCUUUCUUGUUAUAAUUUUUUAAGACUUACAAAAUUUGAGUCUUAUUUUCAUCAAAAUUUAUCCAAAUUUUUUAGUUUAGAUUAUAUUUUAUAUUAAUUUGGUUUAAAGAAAAAGAGUGAUAAUAAUUUAAUUUUUGCAUACUCAAAUAAUGAAUUCUCCCCUUAUCAAGUAUUUGCUAGAAGUAUUGCGCUUAAUUUCUUAUAGUUUUGAGAUGUUAAUUACUAUUAUUAUUAUUAUUAUUAUUAUUAUUAUUAUUAUUAUUAUUAAUGAAUAUUGAUUGUAUUUUGAUACUAAAAAUUUAAGAUGUUUAGAAAAGCUUGUUUUCACGAAAACAUCAAAAUUAGAAAUAAUAUGUUAGCAACCUCAAACGGGAGCUCUUGCGGCUUCAUCCUCCCAUCACGAUGUCUGUCUAAUUCCCCCCACCCUGUAACGGUGGUAUUCCUGCAGCUACAUCUUUUCGCCCAUUCAAUCCACCCUGUACCAAACUAAGUCCUGUUUCAUAAACAUGCGUAGAUGGUGUUUGAUACGUGAGCAUCUUUCUUAUUUUUUUCUAGUGAAUUUAUACUUAAAUUGUUGAGUUUAAUCAAGAAUUAAUUAUCUUUUAGCCACUAUGGAUGCUACUUUGAGUCUUGUGCAUUUUUGUUUAUUUUAGGUAGCAUUCAGCUGGAUUUGAUGGAGUUUCUGCAGCAUAAGAAUUAAAGGAGAAAACCAGCGAGGAGCGACGCAUAUGCGUACCUGACGCGUGCGCAUGAUUUGGAGCUUUCCAUGGCGACGCGUGCACGUGAAUGACGCGUACACGUGAUUUGAAGAUUUACACAGCGACGCGUGCGCAUAAUUAACGCGUACGCAUGACACGCGGAAAAGAUUAUCGACGCGUACGCGUGACUGACACAAACGCGUGACAUGCGCCACGUGCAGAAAGCACUGGGGGGUGAUUUCUGGGCUGCUUUUGACCCAGUUUUCAGCCCAGAAAGCACAGAUCAGAGGAUGCAGAGUGAAGAAAUCAAGUGGUUCCCAUCCAUCAAUUGAAGACUUGAUGAUUGUUAUAAUUAAUUUUGAUUUAAAUUUAAAUUUGAUUUUUAAAUUAGGAAAAGAUAUUACUUAAUUUUAGAAAAUAGAUUUUUCUAAAAUUAAUUAGGAUUAGUUAUAAAAAGAGAUUCCAUUAGUUAACUUUUCAUGCCAUCAGAUUAGAACUCAGUACAUUUUACCUGAAUCCUUAUUUUUUCUCUGAACCACGAGCAACUAAACCUCCAUGUUAAGGUUAGGAGCUCUGUCUAUUUGUAUGAAUUGAUUUUAUUGCUUUUUCUAUUUUAAUUUAUAUAUGGAUUUAUAAUUUAAGAAUUA